CCGUGCCGGGGCUGUAGGUUGGUUCCCCGCUCUCUGAGAGCUGCCUCCGUCCUUCGGGGGCGAAUCACUCGUAGGGCUCUAGAGGUUCGGUGACUCCGCGGAUCGCCACCUUCCCAGCUACAAACGCUGCAUUUUCGAGGGGUGUGACAGAAAGCAGCGGCGGAGACUGCUAGAGGAGCGAUUUCAGUCGGCCUUUAACCACCAGUUAGUGGUUUGUAGAAUCAGUUUAGCUGGUUUCUACCUGGAAGGGAUGCAGUUUUUGUUUUAUAUGCAGGAGAGUUGGAAAUUUCAGGCACAUCUCGGGUAGUCAGAAUGACAACAACAGCAAUUACAACAACAACAACAAAAUAAAAAGCCUGGUCCUCCUCUACUACAUUACCCGUCUCAAAUUGCAGAACACCAGCUACCUAGUCAAUUGCUGGACCCAGAAAAUCACUGAUUUGAGGGUGGAUACAAAUGGCAACUUGAACUCUCAGACAGCUACUGCAAUUCAAAUGAAGUGAAGUUGAAAUUUUAGCAAUACCGUGGAAACCAUAUUGGAAUAAGAGAGCAAGAUGGAGUCACUCACGUCAAGCAGUGACUCAUGUCAGCAGCCAAAGGCGUAGUAGCUAAGACCAGAUAUUGCUGAAACCAGCACAGAUGCCCAAAUGACGUCCAGAACUGAUAACCAGCAGAACCAGAAGAGGCCUGCAAAGGCCCAAGACUGAUUAAACUCCUUUGAGGACUUUCGCAGCAAACUGUCAGACUGCAGAUACUGAUCCUUUCACAUCUCACCACAUUGAAGAGACAACUGGUGCCAAAGGCUCUGCCUGAUUGAUCUCUGAACAUAAUAGAGAUCCUCCACUGCUAGAACAAAAUACACAGCACGCACUGAGAGCUGCCCUGGACUGGACUGAGGCCUCAUCUCAACUGUGCUCAUGGACUGACUUCAUGUUUGUUAUUAACUUCUCACCCUUUGUUGUAUGACUUUGUGUUGUGCUUUGCUUUGUUUAAUGUGUAUAAAACCAAGUUAAAUGUGUAACAAAAUGUCAUUGAGUUUGGAAUCCUGAACCUGCUUUGUAAUUAUGUUAGCCUUGCUUUAUGAUUAAUAAAACCAACAUUGUGGAAAGACA